AAGAACCUUUUCAUCUUGUAUUGCUUUUGCAAUGCAUAAUGAACCUUGAAGCUUUCUCUAUGUUGCACAAUGUUAAUUCUAGGCGGUUGAUGUUGUGGUCCAUUGAGUGUUGCUUGGUAUCCUGCAUACAGAUCAUUAUUUGGGCAUAGGGUUAAACUUAACUCUUGUUUUGCCCUUUUCAGUGUUCUUCAUGACGACAGUUCAUGCGCGCCUAGGCUCGUACCUGCGUGAUGUUCUUUGUCGGAGAUGAAUGCUACCUGGU
rnacentral:misc_RNA from 1 species